CAGUGAUGUGACAUUGUCAAUGAAGCCGUGCACUAGAAUCAGCAAUAAAUGGAGAGAGUCAGCAGUGGAACAGAAAUAUUUGACUGAGUCAAGAAUGUCUUGUGUACCACAAACACAACAACAUAUCACAAUAAACUGAAUGCAAAAGCAAAUAUAAGAACCCAGGAGUUUGUCAUUGGAGUUGAUAAUAAAGUUUUUCAAAAAUGUAAAGCA
rnacentral:lncRNA from 1 species